UACGUAGGUGGCAAGCGUUGUCCGGAUUUACUGGGCGUAAAGAGCGCGCGGGCGGUCGUUCAAGUCGCGUGUGAAAGCCCCCGGCUCAACUGGGGAGGGUCACGCGAUACUGAUCGACUCGAAGGCAGGAGAGGGAAGUGGAAUUCCCGGUGUAGUGGUGAAAUGCGUAGAUAUCGGGAGGAACACCAGUGGCGAAGGCGACUACCUGGCCUGUUCUUGACGCUGAGGCGCGAAAGCUAGGGGAGCAAACGGG
rnacentral:rRNA from 1 species